GAGGAACCCGGAGUGUAAAAUACAGAGUCUGCAGUUGGACAGUAACAGACUGACCGAUGGCUGCACUGAUGCUCUGGUCUCCGCUCUCAGUACAAACCGCUCACUGAGGUUCCUG